AUAGACUUCUUCUACACUUCCAUUUAAAAGAAAACGACAAAUUUGCAAGGACCAAGUCCAUGUAAGAACUUCCAACCGAAAUGGGACACUACUGCUACUGCUCAUCUUGACUUCUGAUCUUGGAUGGAUCAUAUCUAUAAUCUACUAACAAUGUGAUGGUUUUCUUUUACAGAUGUUUUGGCAUGUGGGAGAGCAUGUAUCCAUCCACAAUUGACAAACCUCCUUGUGUUUUCUAUCUCCUUGUAUUUGCAUUAUUAGAAGUACUUCACUAAAUUUGCAUAGAUGAGCAAAUAUUAAAUUUUACCCAAAUUGAACGAAA
rnacentral:misc_RNA from 1 species